rnacentral:rRNA from 1 species
CCUACGGGUGGCUGCAGUGGGGAAUAUUGCACAAUGGGGGAAACCCUGAUGCAGCGACGCCGCGUGAGUGAUGACGUACUUCGUUAUGUAAAGCCCUAUUUGCAGGGAAGCAAAUGACGGUACCUGAGUAAGAAGCCCCGGCUAGCUACGUGCCAGCAGCCGCGGUAAUACGGCGGGGGCAAGCGUUAUACGGAUUUACUGGGGGUAAAGGGAGCGUAGGCGGGAGUGCAAGUCUGGAGUGAAAGGCGCGGGCUCAACCCCCGGACUGAUCUUGAAACUGUUCGUCUUGAGUGAGGGAGAGGUACGUGGAAUUCGUGGUGGAGCGGUGAAAUGCGUAGAUAUUAGGAGGAACACCAGUGGCGAAGGCGGCGUACUGGACUGUAACUGACGCUGAGGCACGAAAGCGUGGGGAGCAAACAGGAUUAGAUACCCGUGUAGUC